rnacentral:rRNA from 1 species
GAUGAACGCUGGCGGUAUGCUUAACACAUGCAAGUCGAACGGACUCUUCGGAGUUAGUGGCGGACGGGUGAGUAACGCGUGGGAAUCUGGCUUUGGGUUCGGGACAACCACUGGAAACGGUGGCUAAUACCGGAUGUGCCGAGAGGUAAAAGAGAAAUUGCCUGAAGAUGAGCUCGCGUCUGAUUAGCUAGUUGGUGAGGUAAAGGCUCACCAAGGCAGCGAUCAGUAGCUGGUCUGAGAGGAUGACCAGCCACACUGGGACUGAGACACGGCUCAGACUCCUACGGGAGGCAGCAGUGGGGAAUUUUCCGCAAUGGGCGAAAGCCUGACGGAGCAAUACCGCGUGAGGGAAGAAGGCUCUUGGGGUGUAAACCUCUUUUCUUAGGGAAGAACAAAAUGACGGUACCUAAGGAAUCAGCAUCGGCUAACUCCGUG